rnacentral:rRNA from 1 species
UGGGGAAUUUUGGACAAUGGGGGCAACCCUGAUCCAGCAAUGCCGCGUGAGUGAAGAAGGCCUUCGGGUUGUAAAGCUCUUUUGUCAGGGAAGAAACGGUAGUAGCGAAUAACUAUUACUAAUGACGGUACCUGAAGAAUAAGCACCGGCUAACUACGUGCCAGCAGCCGCGGUAAUACGUAGGGUGCAAGCGUUAAUCGGAAUUACUGGGCGUAAAGCGUGCGCAGGCGGUUGUGUAAGUCAGAUGUGAAAUCCCCGGGCUCAACCUGGGAAUUGCAUUUGAGACUGCACGGCUAGAGUGUGUCAGAGGGGGGUAGAAUUCCACGUGUAGCAGUGAAAUGCGUAGAUAUGUGGAGGAAUACCGAUGGCGAAGGCAGCCCCCUGGAAUAACACUGACGCUCAUGCACGAAAGCGUGGGGAGCAAACAGGAUUAGAUACCCUUGUAGUCCCUGAGCGGGCUGGCAAGGCGCAU